rnacentral:RNase_P_RNA from 13 species
GAAAGAGAAAGAGAAAGGAAAGAGGGAUAAGAGAAGAGGGAUAAGGGAAGAAGAAGGGAGAAGGGAAUUUCUUUUCUCUUUUUUUCUUUUAUUUUGUUUUCUUUUUUGUUUGUUUGUUGGGAAGAGAGAGAGACAUCAUGGCGGAGAAGCAGAAGAAGAUGAAGGCAGCCUCAGGGAGAGACAGGGACACCAAAUUUCUUGAGGCUGCUAAGAGAUCAAAAAGAUCAGAUAUUAUUGCAAAUUUACAAAAAGGAGCAAAUAUUAAUGCUUUGGAUGAAAGUUCUGGUUUUUCAGCUCUGCAUUUAGCA